rnacentral:lncRNA from 10 species
AGGCUGAGCCCCUGUUCCCGGGAAUGGCAGGGGCGCCCGCGCGAGGAGGGUCGCCGGGAGAGCCGCCUCUCCUCCAAGCUGGAGCAGCCGUGACCCAGAUUGCGACCGCGGCGGCCUCGCCCUGCCUAAUCCCCCCCUCUUCUUCCUCCAGGGGCACCCUUUGGAGAAGAACCCCAGCCUGGGGUGGGGACGCACCGGCUCUCCGACAGCUCAAACACAGACAGAUCUUCUAGAGCCGAGGGAAUUUCUUUUCGCAGAAGCCAUUACUCCCCCCGUUCUGAGGAUUCAGAAACAAGGAGGCCCCACUCGCUGCCCCCUGGAUGCUUCCAGCCCAGAAGGCACGAAGAUGAAGACAUGCCCAACUGCAGUACCCUGUGGUCAAUGCUACAUAGGAGCCCAGGAGUGCCAGAGAGAGAGAGAGAGAGGCCUGCUCCAGCCAUGCAGGAGACCAGCACAGACCCAUCAGUGAAGCCUGUUCUCAACAAACGCUUGUAAAUGACUCACUCCUACUGGGGUCUAGAGGACGAUGGA